AUGACGCCUCUGUUCAUCUCAGCGCUGCUGGCUGCUGUGAGCUUUGAAUGCAGAGCACAAACAGACAGCAUGCUGCAACCAGCAGGAGAAGAGCCUGCUGCUGAAGGACAGACAGUAACACUUGGCUGUCAGUACACAAGCUCUUCAUCAAAUCAUUAUCUCUUCUGGUACAAACAGGACGGAAACAACAGACCCAAAUUCAUCCUGAGCCGCUUUAAGAUCGGCUCGGGGAAAACAGAGGACGGGGACAGAUUUUCAUCUGUACUGAAUUCAACCUCAAGAUCGGUUCCUCUGAAGAUCCAGAAGCUUCAGCUGUCUGACUCUGCUGUGUACUACUGUGCUCUGCAGCCCACAGUGACA